CCUAUCUCUUCUGUGGAAGGAGCCAGAUGUCCCCGAUGCCGUUCUCGACGAGCGGUGGCAGCCACCGCCUGAACAGUUUCAUGGACAGAUGGACGGACGCGGCGUGAGAGCGCAUAUCACUCGCACAUACUUUAUAUGAGUGUGCAACAGAGAGACCACAUGGACAUAGGCGGUUCAAUUAUGCACGCAAGAAUGUACAGGAAGGUGUCAGUGUUGUUGCGAGUACUAGCCAUGUCGAGUUGGAAGAAGAUGAAGAUGAAAACUCGCCAAGUGAAACGGACAUUUUGAAUGCAGUUUAUUGUGGCGUGCAAGACGAUGACUCAGACUGUGUUGUGGAUUUUCAAAAUGAAAAUGAAAUGCUCCUUAAAUCUUUUUGUACAUAGUGCAAUUAUAAUGAUAAAUGCGUUCAAUAGUUUUCAGAACAUGUUUCAUCAAACUAAACAAGUAACAUG